ACGCAACACCCUCCACACCUUGAGGGAGGCCAUCCAGCAGAACGA
rnacentral:SRP_RNA from 14 species